rnacentral:misc_RNA from 1 species
AAUAAGAGACAGGUGAGUCAUCGAAUCUUUGAACGCACAUUGCGCCCGCCAGUAUUCUGGCGGGCAUGCCUGUCUGAGCGUCAUUUCAACCCUCAAGCAACUUCUGCUUGGUGUUGGGGAUCGGCCGUUAAACGCCGCCCCCGAAAUCUAUUGGCGAUCUCGCUGUAGCUUCCUAUGCGUAGUAGUAACAUCUCGCAUCUGGAGAGCGGCGCGGUCAUGCCGUAAAACACCCAACUUCUCAGGUUGACCUCAGAUCAGGUAGGAAUACCCGCUGAACUUAAGCAUAUCAAUAAGCGGAGG